AUCAAGGGAUUCACACUUACUAGUAAGCUGUAAAGUGUUCACAGAUUUAAGGAGGCUGCACUUGGGGCCCAGCUAGGAGUGAGGCGGCCCAGGCAGGAAGGAGCAGGAGGCUGCUGGGAUCCUAAUCCCCACUUGAAUUCCUAUGUCAAAGAGGCUGGGUCUUUGCCCCCAGCUCUCCUGCCACAGUCAAGGGGAGCAACUUGGAAGAACAUUCAUCACCCAUCCCCUAGUCAUUCCUCCUGUUGAUUAUAGCCCUCUAUAUAAAGCAGGAGGCACUGCCUGGAAUCAGAGAUAAACCAAGUCCACAGGGCCUAGGAGUAAGGGCCUUUGGCCUCCUGAAGUUUAUGCUUUUCGGGUCUUAAAGGAUGCUGGACCCCGAGAGUUGGACUCCAGAGCUAAAGGCUUAGAAAAUAUAAACAAAAUACAAAAUGUAAGCAAAGAGUUGUCUCAAGCCUUUAUAUAACCAACAGCACUUCCCUCAAGUGACAGGGAACACUGUGCAUUGAUGAAGAUGAUGAAGGACAGAUGGGACCCAGAAAGAGAGCAAGGUGUGCCUAUGGAAACAGCCCUCAACCACACUUGCCAGAGAAGCAGGUGGCCACCAUCAGCACAGAGCCUAGAAAAGAUAAGGCAGUCCAGUGGGUGUCUACCUGGAGCUCUUGAGCCCCCUCACCCCAGGAUGCCGCUCAGCUCCGGGUGUGCCCAGGCAGAGCACUGAUCCACCGGCCCCUCAGCCGCACCCACUGAGGACUGACGCCCCAGGAUGGGAAGCAUGCCUGGACCGGUGGGGACAGCCAGAUGGACUCCAGUCGAUUUGCCUUGGACAGCUGGGGAGCAGGGCCCAGGAUGCUCCCACCCCACCCCACCACUCCAGACAGGGAGGGGUGUGGUUGCAAUUUCUAGGAUUUCUCUGCCACUAUGCCCAUCAAGAAGUGCCACCUGCCUCAUCAGUACCAGGGCUGACCCUCAGAGCCUCCCACAGGUGGGGUUUGCCCAGCGGCCAAGAGUCUUUAAUACACCCCACAAUUACCAGCCUCUUCUAGCAUUCCCCCUGCACCCUCAAA
rnacentral:lncRNA from 1 species